AUGUACCACCACUCCACCAGCACCGGCCGGCCGGCCGUCGUAUUGAUACGACGUGGCUACACGCCUAGCGGCUGCCUCUGUCUGGCAUCCAUGAAUGAGAGGGGAGGAGUAUUUCAGAAGCAAGCCCAUCACUGCGCCGGCCUGCUCCUGCUCCCGCUCUGCUUUCGAUGCACUGCACGCCAAAGCGACGCCCCUACGACGCAAGAGAGAGAAACGCUGCCGCUAGCCUGCUGCUCUAGCGGUCGAGGAUGGAGUGACCACUGCGGCGCCGCGGCCUCGCAGGCUCCGUUUGAGAGUGAGGGGCUCACCUCGUCGGGUCCUAGCAUUGCUCCCCCUCUUUCCUCGCCAUCGCGGAGCGGGGCGAGAGCGAUCGAGGAGGGAGAAACGAGGAGGGAUUUCAGUUAA
rnacentral:rRNA from 1 species